rnacentral:sRNA from 12 species
UCCUGACAGCCCAUUGGGGGCUGACACUAGCCACGACAGGAGAUUGACAUG